UACGUAGGGGGCGAGCGUUGUCCGGAUUUAUUGGGCGUAAAGAGCUCGUAGGCGGUUUGGCAAGUCGGGUGUGAAACCUCCAGGCUCAACCUGGAGUCGCCACCCGAUACUGCUAUGGCUUGAGUCUGGUAGGGGAUCACGGAAUUCCAGGUGUAGCGGUGAAAUGCGUAGAUAUCUGGAGGAACACCGGUGGCGAAGGCGGCAUCCUGGACCAACACUGACGCUGAGGAGCGAAAGCCAGGGGAGCAAACGGG
rnacentral:rRNA from 1 species